rnacentral:misc_RNA from 1 species
AUGAGCUGCUCCGAUGUGAUGUAUCAAUAUUAUCCUUAUCUUUACCAGACCCACCGGCCACCGCCGCCGCAUCCGACCCACCCCCAUGCGGCCCCGCACAGUCACCCCCAUGCCAAUCCGCACGCGGCCCACCACAGCCCGGCCAGACCGGCGCCCUUUCAACCCUUCCCGGCGGCUACGGCGACGCAUCAGUAUGACAGGCUGAAUGUCCAUCAAAGGUCGUUGGAAGCAGCUGGUAUCGAGCUUUGCGGCACCGGCGGAAGUGUCCCUCAAGGUCAGCCGAGCAGCGCGGGUUCCGUAGGGUCCGCGCCAAGUCCCGCAUCCCCAAGGCCAACGCCGCAACCGCGACCACCCCUCGCAACCACCACCUCGCAACCCUCGCGAACACUAGACGAUGACAGGUCGACAGACGGCGUAGGUGCUGGUACCGCCACUGAGGACUCCGAAGACGGCGAGAGGGCAGCGCAAUACGUUAAUGCAAAUUGCGUAGUGUUUACGCAUUAUCGAGGCGACGCGGCGUCGGAAGUCGAGGAACACUUUCAGAGAGCCCUCGCUCACGACAAAUUAAAGGAAAAUAUCUCUCCCAUGUCCAUGAGGAAUUUCCCCCCUUCUUUUUGGAAUAGUCAGCAUCCCGGUGAUGUCUACGAGUACCCGACGGAUCCGUGGCAUUACCCGCAGUAUCACCACAGAGCUGUGCACGAGUACCACCACCACAAUAUGGCGGCAGCAGCGAGUUACGGUGGCCUUCUGCUUGGUGGUGCACGCGGCCUCGGUCAUCAUACAUCUCACCAUGCGGCGCAUCACGCGCACGCCGCAGCAUCCUACAAGGAGUGGACGUCGACGACGCCGUCGCAGUCCCUCGUCGACGCUUCCUCGGCGCCGCCCUAUCCUCACGGCCACUACGCACCCCUCUCCGAUAAACACGCUCAACAUUCUUACUGUUCUGAUAAAUGAACUGUGUUCGGAAUGCAGCGAACCCGAAGCAGGAUCUAAAGAUGCUGUGCUUUAAACCAUUGCAGCAGUGUUUAACCCAUUGCUUUAAUCCAGCAACUAAGGUUCCAAGGACUCGAGUCUCAAGUUCAAGAUUCCAAGGACCUCUACUGGUUCUAGGAUCAAGUGUUGCAGAUCGGCAGGAGGCAUGCAGUUUCCUUACAUUCAGAGGACGACUG